UACGGGGGGAGCAAGCGUUAAUCGGAAUUACUGGGCGUAAAGCGCACGUAGGCGGCUUGGUAUGUCGGGUGUGAAAUCCCCGGGCUCAACCUGGGAACUGCAUCCGAAACUGCCUUGCUAGAGUAUGGGAGAGGGAAGUGGAAUUUCCGGUGUAGCGGUGAAAUGCGUAGAUAUCGGAAGGAACAUCAGUGGCGAAGGCGACUUCCUGGACCAAUACUGACGCUCAGGUGCGAAAGCGUGGGGAGCAAACAGG
rnacentral:rRNA from 1 species